GGGCUUUGGCUCAGUGAUAGAGCAUCUGCUUUGCAUGCAGAAGGUACUAAAUUCAAUCCUUGGCAUCUCCA